rnacentral:rRNA from 1 species
UGGGGAAUAUUGCACAAUGGGCGAAAGCCUGAUGCAGCAACGCCGCGUGAGUGAUGAAGGCCUUCGGGUUGUAAAGCUCUGUCUUUUGGGACGAUAAUGACGGUACCAAAGGAGGAAGCCACGGCUAACUACGUGCCAGCAGCCGCGGUAAUACGUAGGUGGCAAGCGUUGUCCGGAUUUACUGGGCGUAAAGGAUGCGUAGGCGGAUUUUUAAGUGAGAUGUGAAAUACCCGGGCUUAACUUGGGUGCUGCAUUUCAAACUGGGAAUCUAGAGUGCGGGAGAGGAGAAUGGAAUUCCUAGUGUAGCGGUGAAAGUGCGUAGAGAUUAGGAAGAACACCAGUGGCGAAGGCGAUUCUCUGGACCGUAACUGACGCUGAGGCAUGAAAGCGUGGGUAGCAAACAGGAUUAGAUACCCUGGUAGUCCACGCCGUAAACGAUGAGUACUAGGUGUAGGAGGUAUCGACCCCUUCUGUGCCGCAGUUAACACAAUAAGUACUCCGCCUGGGAAGUACGAUCGCAAG